rnacentral:lncRNA from 1 species
GAUCUCAACUCUUUUAAAUUCGCACUUAAACUUUUAUUUUAAUUUAACCUUGUUACAAAACCAUUAUCAAAUUAUCAAACAAAUUCGUGUAAAUAGUUGCUUAACUAAUUCUUGUAGGAAUUAGUGUAAAUCCACUCUGAUCCCUGAAGACCAUAUUCCGGCACUUUAAUGGAUUUUACUACUUUGAUGAUACAGUGCAUUUCUCGUUCAUAAAAUAUCUAACAAUUCCAAGAAUAACGGAUAAGGUCCUCAAAAGUAUGGUGGGAUAACCACGCCGCCAGCAUACGAAAAGUUCUAUGAAGGGAAUUUGCAGCCUAGAUUCCUGCCAAAUUGAUUAGCAUUGGAGAGUGAUCAGUUUUCAUAGCAUUAAGAUGGGUCACCGUAGACUGUGGGAAAGUCAUUCUCCAGUCCAGAUUCACCAAAGCUCUGUCAAGCUGCUCUUUAAGUCUACCACGCUUGCAAGUGAACCAGGGACCAGAGAAGCCCAAGUCAAUUAAAUUGCAGGAACUAAUCAAAGAUGCAAAAUCUAAUGCGCCUCUCAAAGGAUGGUUGCUAGAACUACCUUACCAUAACAUUAAAAUCCUCCAUUACACACUAAGGCCUAUUUAUUGCAUCAGUCAAAUAAAGAAGAGAAUCCCACAAGGCAUUCCUAAUUGAGAAAUAGGGACUAACAUAGACAGUUGUAAGAAUCCAAAGCUCACCACCCAUGAAUUGAAUUUCCAUAGUAAUUGAUUGACUCGAAGAUUAAAUGACUCCAACCUUCCAGACACUACAGAAGCAUUGGCAUAUGGGCAUCCUUGUUUGGGGUGGAUUGAUCCUUAGGAGUUGGCAUAUAGCUCAACGGGAAGAUCCGGAAUUCGAAUCUAGACCACAAUAUUAUGAUUCUCCUUUUCAUUUGAGAGAAAAAAAGGUCUCCAACAUUGGAUAAUUAGAUAGUGGUUAGCUAUCAUCCAAGGUCCCUCAUAAAGAGUAUGAUUAUAGUCUUCCUCAUUGUUGAAGUGCACUAAAAAAUACUGUUUCGGCAUGUCAAUUAUUUGUAUGGUUCCUUGAAUUUGCCAAAGAUGGUUCAAUCUGUUCUCCAUCAUCUUAAGAGGGAUAGUUGUGCCUAAAAGUUUAACCACCAAAGCAUGCUUCCAGGGUUUGCACCAAGUUUCAAAUUCCUCCUUGGUCACUGGAAUUUCCGGGCAGGGAUCAAAUGGUUUGUCCUCCUCCACCUCCUCGUACCACUGAUUCUCUACUAGGUCCUCAUCUUCAUCUUGGUUGUCCACCCCUGCAGUAUUUAGUGGAAAAGACAGGGGCUUGUCACGAUACGAGAUCCUGUGUCCAGCUUCAAAAGAGUCAUCCUCAGUUGAAGAGGGCCUUUCCUUUCAUCUCUGGUUUUAACUUUCUUGGUGCUCCCACUCAUGAGAUCUUCCUCUUGGGAGGAAGAAGAUUUCCCUAACACCCUAGCAGAAGUUUUCCUGUCUAAUUUUUGUUCUUCUUAAUUAUUUUGUUAAUGAUUAUACCACUGGUUUCUUUUUCCAUGGACAAUCAUUCCUGUGGUGUCUUCUAUACCAAUAAAAAAAUUAUAUUAGUAAUGACUUUUUUUAUACCGGCAAUCAUUUUGAUAUUGAUUAUAUCUCUAGAUAUUUU